GUUAGAGGAGAGAUCUGGAGCAUUACAUCAUGCUGGCAGACUAACGCAGCAUCACACACCGGAUUGGCCCGCCCUGCGUGGCACACGGAUGUGAUUGGUUGACUCCCAGCACCUGCGGACUGGAGAGAGGACAGCGGUGGUGUUGCGCGCGAGGGAGGCUUCGGAUACAAGGUGAGGUUGGCGCGGGGAGAAGAUGAGGAAUAUAAACAACAUCACAUCAUAUCCGAGGAAGAUGAUCUGAGAGGACUCGACCUCUACAUGACUUCUGCCUCCGAGAGCGGGAAGACGCGCUGAACCUCGUGCGACUCGGACGAGCUGGUCUUCUCUACUCAGACUCCUCCUCUUCCUGCUCCACGAUGGGAUCGCACGUCCUCACCCUCGCCCUCCUCUCCGUCCUGACGUCCUCGCUGGCGCCAGCGGAGACGACUUCCUCCCAGGUGAGGAAGUGACAUCAUCAGAUCGCUCAUCCAGGCGACUGACGGAAAUGAUCAAGCAGAAAAAAAAAUACCACAGAAGAAGAACCGUCAAACUGCAAACUCAUUUCCGG
ensembl:lncRNA